rnacentral:rRNA from 1 species
AGCGGCGCACGGGUGAGUAACACGUGAGUAAUCUGCCUCGAAGUCUGGGAUAACCACUCGAAAGGGUGGCUAAUACUGGAUAAGCCCCCUCGACCGUAGGGUCGAGAGGGAAAAGCUUUAUGUGCUUCGAGAUGAGCUCGCGUCGCAUUAGGUAGUUGGUGGGGUAACGGGCUACCAAGCCAGAGAUGCGUAGCUGGUCUGAGAGGAUGAUCAUCCACCCUGGAACUGAGACACGGUCCAGACUCCUACGGGAGGCAGCAGUGGGGAAUAUUGCGCAAUGGGGGAAACCCUGACGCACCAACGCCGCGUGAGUGACGAAGGCCCUCCGGUCGUAAAGCUCUGGCUUUUGGGACGAAAGAAAGUGACGGUACCCACAAAAGAAGCACUGGCUUACUCCGUGCCAGCCCCCGCGGUAAUACGGAGAGUGCAAACGUUGUUCGGAAUCAUUGGGCGUAAAGCGCGCGUAUGCGGCUAGUUAGGUCGGGUGUGAAAGCCCAGGGUUCAACCCUGGGAACUGCGCUCGAAACCGGGUAGCUUGAGUUCUUGAGGGAAAAGUGGAAUUCC